rnacentral:rRNA from 1 species
CAGCAGCCGCGGGAAUACAGAGGGUGCGAGCGUUAAUCGGAUUUACUGGGCGUAAAGCGUGCGUAGGCGGCUAAUUGAGUCGGAUGUGAAAUCCCCGAGCUUAACUUGGGAAUUGCAUUCGAUACUGGUUAGCUAGAGUAUGGGAGAGGAUGGUAGAAUUCCAGGUGUAGCGGUGAAAUGCGUAGAGAUCUGGAGGAAUACCGAUGGCGAAGGCAGCCAUCUGGCCUAAUACUGACGCUGAGGUACGAAAGCAUGGGGAGCAAACAGGAUUAGAGACCCGCGUAGUCCCUGUCUCUUAUAC